GAUGAACGCUGGCGGCAUGCCUUACACAUGCAAGUCGAACGGCAGCGGGGGAGAAGCUUGCUUUUCCUGCCGGCGAGUGGCGAACGGGUGAGUAAUACAUCGGAACGUGCCCUGUAGUGGGGGAUAACUAGUCGAAAGAUUAGCUAAUACCGCAUACGACCUGAGGGUGAAAGUGGGGGACCGCAAGGCCUCAUGCUAUAGGAGCGGCCGAUGUCUGAUUAGCUAGUUGGUGGGGUAAAGGCCUACCAAGGCGACGAUCAGUAGCUGGUCUGAGAGGACGAUCAGCCACACUGGGACUGAGACACGGCCCAGACUCCUACGGGAGGCAGCAGUGGGGAAUUUUGGACAAUGGGCGAAAGCCUGACCCAGCAAUGCCGCGUGUGUGAAGAAGGCCUUCGGGUUGUAAAGCACUUUUGUCCGGAAAGAAAUGGCUCUGGUUAAUACCUGGGGUCGAUGACGGUACCGGAAGAAUAAGGACCGGCUAACUACGUGCCAGCAGCCGCGGUAA
rnacentral:rRNA from 1 species